rnacentral:rRNA from 1 species
UCAAGCGAAGAAUAGGUUUAUGGUGGAUGUCUUGGAGCCAACCGGCGAAGAAGGCCGUGAUAAGCUGCGAAAAGCUUCGGGGAGGAGCACAUAUCCUGUGAUCCGGAGAUAGCCGAAUGGGGUAACCCGAUAGGAGUGAUUCUAUCAUUACGCUCUUGAAUAAAAUAGAGAGGUAAAGCAAUACUGAGUGAACUGAACCAUCUAAGUAACUCAAGGAAAAGACAUCAAAAGAGAUUCCGAAAGUAGUGGCGAGCGAAAUUGGAAGAGCCCAAACCCGUUAAACGGGGGUUGUAGGGCUGCACGGGCUUACGUACAGCAAGUGAUAAAAUGAAUGUAUAGUAGAAAGGUUUUGGGAAAGCCUGACAGAGAGGGUGAAAUCCCCGUAUACGAAAUACAGUCAUCUUGCCGGUGCAGUACCUGAGUACGGCGGGACACGAGAAAUCCUGUUGGAAUCUGGGUCGACCACGAUCCAAGGCUAAAUACGAGUUGGCUACCGAUAGCGGACAAGUACCGUGAGGGAAAGAUGAAAAGAACCCCUGUGAGGGGAGUGAAAUAGAACCUGAAACCAUAAACCAACAAGAUGUUACAGCCCUAUAUGGGUGGUAGCGUGCCUUUUGUAGAAUGAGCCUGCGAGUUACGGUAUGCAGCGAGGUUAAGGAAUAGAAGUUCCGGAGCCGGAGGGAAACCGAGUCUGAAGAGGGCGAAGUAAAGUUGCAUGUCGUAGACCCGAAGCCAGAGUGAUCUAGUCAUGAGCAGGUUGAAGCAGCGGUAAAACGCUGUGGAGGACCGAACUACAAUCUGUUAAAAAAGGUUUGGAUGACUUGUGACUAGGAGUGAAAGGCUAAACAAACCUGGAAAUAGCUGGUUCUCCCCGAAAUGCCUUUAGGGACAGCCUUAUACAAAAUUACCGGAGGUAAAGCACUGGAUGGACUAGGGGGCUUCACCGCCUACCAAACCCAAUCAAACUCUGAAUGCCGGUAAUCAACGUAUAGGAGUGAGACUGCGUGCGACAAGGUUCGUAGUCAAAAGGGAAACAGCCCAGACCGUCAGCUAAGGUCCCGAAAUACUGCUUGAGUGUGAAAUGAAGUGUGGAUACAAAGACAGCCAGGAGGUUGGCUUAGAAGCAGCCAUUCCUUAAAAGAGUGCGUAAUAGCUCACUGGUCGAGUAUACAUGCGCAGAUAAUGUAACGGGGCUAAGCAGUAUACCGAAGCUACGGGUCUUAUGCAUUAAAAGCAUAAGGCGGUAGGGGAGCAUUCCAUGGACUGAUGAAGGCGUACCUGAGAGGGGCGCUGGAGGGGAUGGAAGAGAGAAUGCAGGUAUAAGUACACGAAAAGAAAGGUGAGAUUCCUUUCCGCCGAAAACCUAAGGUUUCCUGGGUAAAGGUCAUCUGCCCAGGGUUAGUCGGUCCCUAAGGCGAGGGCGAAAGCCGUAGUCGAUGGGAAAUCGGUUCAUAUUCCGAUACCUUUUAUAAUUUCGAUGGCAGGACGCAUGAGGCGACCCCCGGCCGGAGAACGGUUGUUCCGGUCGAAGUAUUUAAGCCGUUAUAAAGGAUAGUAGGCAAAUCCGCUAUCCAAGGUAAGAAGCGACAGCGAGUGGAUCGAUGAGAGAAGCGAAGCGGGGUAAGUCACGGUGCCGGGAAAUACUGUCUAAGGAUCAGGUUAUAAAAGACCGUACCGUAAACCGACACAGGUAGGUAGGAUGAGAAAUCUAAGGCGCUCGAGAGAACUCGCGUUAAGGAACUCGGCAAAAUGCACACGUAACUUAGGGAAAAGUGUGGCCUCUGUUUAGUAAUGAGUGGAGGUAGCAUAAAGCAGGCCCAGGCGACUGUUUAUCAAAAACACAGCCAUCUGCGAAUCAGUAAUGAGACGUAUAGGUGGUGACACCUGCCCGGUGCCGGAAGGUUAAGAGGAGCGGUGAGCAGUAAUGCGAAGCUGUCAAUUGAAGCCCCGGUAAACGGCGGCCGUAACUAUAACGGUCCUAAGGUAGCGAAAUUCCUUGUCGGGUAAGUUCCGACCCGCACGAAUGG